AUGGCGGUGGGGGUGGGGAGGUUGUACACAACAGCUAGCCCUGCCCCCCUCUUUUCAUGGGACACAAGGAAGCCAAGACGAGGUGGGGGUGGCCACCUAUAUUUGCAUGCGAUCUUUCUCCACCAGACCCAGGGCCACUCAAGGAAGCUGUGCGACAAGCUGAGCAGAACAGCAGAGUCAGCCUGGCCUGGCCUUUCUUCCGGAGCCCGAGGUGCACGACAGAGUACCCACAAAACCCCACAUUGGGACAAAGAGAAGGACGCCCGGAUUCUCCCUGCCAGCUCCUCCCACCCGCUUCCAGUCCGCCAGCCCCUCUCCUGCCUCGCUGAGCACCUGGACGCCCGCUCUGGACAUUGUCUCCCCGCCCCCACCUUGGACCACGCUGGACCCCAAGGGCGAUGGCCGCCUGCAGCUGGGUACCCUUGCAUGCAAAACGAGGGGCUGGGGUGUCACCCCCAAGAGGGACAGAAUGAAGGAGGAGGAUCAGAGACCUGGAAGUGAAUCCUGAGAGCGUCUGAAGAUGGACUUAGUUAUAUGCAUUUGGUCUUUGCUGGUCUUUCCUUAUAUUUUUAUCCUACUGUCCUGCUAACCAUUGAAUGCAGCCCUUGCUUCGUAGGGCUCUCCCAGUGUCCCUGUCCCUGCCCCGUUCUUGCUGUAGCUGCUGGUGGGGGUGGGGGGUGUGGGGGCUGGGGAGUCAGGGACCAGAGCUUCCUCUGGAAGCUUAGAGGGGACCAGGCGUUUUCACCACAGCUGAGCAGGUGGGACAAGCACCCCCAGCCCUCCGGCACCCGGGGCCCAGCGGGAUUUUGCCAAGGUGUCGAGGGCUGGCAGGGCCAUGUGGCUGUUUGAUUUCCCCCCACUUCCAAACUAGUUGAAAUUACACACCAAGCAUCGAUUUAAUUAAGUUUUCCGGUGUGUGGCAUAAUUAGGAAGACACACGACUGGAACAGGGUGGGCGGGCCCAUCCCAGUUCCUGCCUGUUAGAAUUCUCAGCCCUCAGGCCACAAAAUAUGGCAAGUCGUAGGAUGGGGGAUGCAGGAGACGGAGAGCCAGCCGGAGCUGCCACCUCGCUCCGCCAGCUUCUGUCUCCAAGUGAUGGGAGGGGGGCAGGUGGCCCUGCCUCUACAGGGACUCUCCCCCACACCUGGUGCCAGGCAUUGAACUUGAGUGAAGCUCAGGGAGCUUGUCACCCUCACGGGGACAUCAGAAGGGACAGUAUGGAGUUAGAGAGGGGCCUUGCUGUUGCGGUAGGAUCAGUGCUUUAUCUAUAAGGACGUGCUCCCGGGACAGAGUCACUCGGGGCCUGUUUGCCACAGGGACUGCCAGCCUCUUGGCCAUGAUCUAAUCACAGAUGGACAGUGCCACAGACACGGAGCCCUGUAGAAGCCUAACACUUUCAUCUCUCCCACACAUUCGGGCUGGACCACCACAGGGCAGACCCAUGGCUUGGCUGGUGCUUCUCCAUCCCUGGCAGGAAAGGCCAUGGCAGGCACCCUCCCCA
rnacentral:lncRNA from 1 species